rnacentral:rRNA from 1 species
ACGAACGCUGGCGGCGUGCUUAACACAUGCAAGUCGAACGGUGAAGCGCCUUCCUUUUUGGUGGGUGUGGAUGAGUGGCGAACGGGUGAGUAACACGUGAGUAACCUGCCCCCUUCUUCUGGAUAACCGCAUGAAAGUGUGGCUAAUACGGGAUAUUCUGGGUCUGUCGCAUGAUGGGUCUGGGAAAGAUAUUGUUUCGGUGGGGGAUGGGCUCGCGGCCUAUCAGCUUGUUGGUGGGGUGAUGGCCUACCAAGGCGGUGACGGGUAGCCGGCCUGAGAGGGUGGACGGUCACACUGGGACUGAGACACGGGCCAGACUCCUACGGGAGGCAGCAGUGGGGAAUAUUGCACAAUGGGCGCAAGCCUGAUGCGGCGACGCCGCGUGAGGGAUGGAGGCCUUCGGGUUGUGAACCUCUUUCGCCAGUGAAGCAGGCCUGCCUCGUUUGUGGGUGGGUUGACGGUAGCUGGAUAAGAAGCGCCGGCUAACUACGUA